AACGUUGGCGGCGUGCUUAAUACAUGCAAGUCAACUGAAGCACCGGUAGUAAUACUGGUGUGGAGGUGGCGCACGGGUGAGUAACACGUAGGUAAUCUGCCUUCAGGUCUGACAUAACCCCGAGAAAUCGGGGCUAAUAGCAGAUGAUGCAGCGGCUUGACAUCAAGACAGUUGUUAAAGCUUCGGCGCCUGAAGAUGAGCCUGCGUCUGAUUAGCUAGUUGGCGGAGUAAUAGCCCACCAAGGCGACGAUCAGUAGCUGGUCUGAGAGGAUGAUCAGCCACACUGGAACUGAGACACGGUCCAGACUCCUACGGGAGGCAGCAGUAAGGAAUAUUGCUCAAUGGGAGAAAUCCUGAAGCAGUAACGCCGCGUGAGGGAUGAAGGGCUUUUGCUCGUAAACCUCUGUAGUGAGGGAAAAAAUUUCCAUUCUAUGGAAUAUGAUGGUACCUCAAAAGUAAGCCCCGGCUAACUACGUG
rnacentral:rRNA from 1 species